UACGUAGGUGGCAAGCGUUAUCCGGAUUCACUGGGUUUAAAGGGUGCGUAGGUGGGCAGUUAAGUCAGUGGUGAAAUCUCCGGGCUCAACCCGGAAACUGCCAUUGAUACUAUCUGUCUUGAAUAUCGUGGAGGUAAGCGGAAUAUGUCAUGUAGCGGUGAAAUGCUUAGAUAUGACAUAGAACACCAAUUGCGAAGGCAGCUUACUACCCGAAUAUUGACACUGAGGCACGAAAGCGUGGGGAUCAAACAGG
rnacentral:rRNA from 1 species